rnacentral:rRNA from 1 species
GUGGGGAAUAUUGGACAAUGGGCGCAAGCCUGAUCCAGCCAUGCCGCGUGAGUGAUGAAGGCCUUAGGGUUGUAAAGCUCUUUCAGUAGGGAAGAUAAUGACGGUACCUACAGAAGAAGCCCCGGCUAACUUCGUGCCAGCAGCCGCGGUAAUACGAAGGGGGCUAGCGUUGUUCGGAUUUACUGGGCGUAAAGCGCACGUAGGCGGAAUGUUAAGUCAGAGGUGAAAUCCUGGAGCUCAACUCCAGAACUGCCUUUGAUACUGGCAAUCUCGAGUCCGGAAGAGGUGAGUGGAACUCCUAGUGUAGAGGUGGAAUUCGUAGAUAUUAGGAAGAACACCAGUGGCGAAGGCGGCUCACUGGCCCGGUACUGACGCUGAGGUGCGAAAGCGUGGGGAGCAAACAGGAUUAGAUACCCUUGUAGUCC